UACGUAGGGUGCAAGCGUUGUCCGGAAUUAUUGGGCGUAAAGAGCUCGUAGGCGGUUUGUUGCGUCGGCUGUGAAAUCCCGAGGCUCAACUCCGGAUCUGCGGUGGGUACGGGCAGACUAGAGUGAUGUAGGGGAGACUGGAAUUCCUGGUGUAGCGGUGAAAUGCGCAGAUAUCAGGAGGAACACCGAUGGCGAAGGCAGGUCUCUGGGCAUUAACUGACGCUGAGGAGCGAAAGCAUGGGGGAGCGAACAGG
rnacentral:rRNA from 1 species